rnacentral:tRNA from 1 species
GGGCUGAUAGCUCAGCUGGUUAGAGCACACGCUUGAUAAGCGUGGGGUCGCAGGUUCAAAUCCUGCUCGGCCCACCA